UGCCAGACUCCUACGGGAGGCAGUAGUGAGGAAUAUUGGUCAAUGGGCGCGAGCCUGAGCCAGCCAAGUCGCGUGAGGGAAGACGGUCCUACGGAUUGUAAACCUCUUUUGCCGGGGAGCAACGGGGUCCUUGCGAGGGCCCGAUGAGAGUACCCGGAGAAAAAGCAUCGGCUAACUCCGUGCCAGCAGCCGCGGUAAUACAUAGGGAGCAAGCGUUAUCCGGAUUUAUUGGGUGUAAAGGGUGCGUAGACGGGAAAUUAAGUUAGUUGUGAAAUCCCUCGGCUUAACUGAGGAACUGCAACUAAAACUGAUUUUCUUGAGUACUGGAGAGGAAAGUGGAAUUCCUAGUGUAGCGGUGAAAUGCGUAGAUAUUAGGAGGAACACCAGUGGCGAAGGCGGCUUACUGGACUGUAACUGACGUUGAGGCUCGAAAGCGUGGGGAGCAAACAGGAUUAGAUACCCCGGUACUC
rnacentral:rRNA from 1 species